rnacentral:lncRNA from 10 species
GUAAGUGACAUUUUCAUCAGUAUGGGUUAUUCUUUCAUUCCAUAAUAUCCUAUGACCCAGACUAGGCCUUUGGGUUCUAGUUCACCCUUAGAUAUUUAUGUUUUAUGUUCUCCUAUGAUGGUUAAUUUAUCUUAAGCAUAUCUCAGUCCCCAAAAAAAUGCUUAAUUUUUUUUAUAUUUUUAAAUGACUGUCACAGCAGCAUUAUUCAGAAUAGUUAAAAAGUAGAAGCAACCCAGGUAUCCAUCAGCGAAUUCAGAUUAAAAAAUUCUGCAGGCAACCAAACUUUUAGUCAAGUGAGAGGAAAUCAGAAAAUGCAAGUAUCCAUUUACCAUUCAUGGGGGAAAUAAUUCUUUGAUACUUGAGAAAAUACCACAGCUGACUAAAAGAAUAAAUAAAACUGUUACAUCUCAAGAGGUAAUAUGAUAUUAAAAAUUGAUUAUGUGUACUGCAUCCAUUAAAAUUCACAUUAAUAAAUAAUUACUAGUUUUUAACAUCAAUAUGUUACAUAAUUCUUGUAUCAAAUAUAUUUCUUGGGAAAGAAAAUAAACAAAAUAAAAAAUAAUAUUUUUAAUACCAGGAAUUUGACCUAAAAAACUAAUUAAUUAAUACAUGUUGAGCAGGAGUAGAGAAGAGGAAAGUAAAAGUGUGAUAAGUCUCUUAUAUAGGAGAACCAGUAAUAGUCUUCCAUUCUUAUAAUUGGUUGAAAAUUACAUAUAUAUGCUAAUCUCUGUGUAUAUGUAUAUUUUUAUAUACAUAUAAUGUGCAUAUGUGAAUAUAUAUAUAACUGUAGAACAAAAAUGUGCAUUCUACAAAUGGGAAUAUAGAAUAAAAUUUGUAGAAAAAAUAACUAAUAGGAAGAAAGAGGAGCUACAAUGACAUAUAAUGUAUAGGGAAGAAGAAAACAAUAAGUAUAAAUCACAAAGAAUAAAAUAAAAUGGCAAAAUAAGACUAUACCUGACUUGGCAUAGUGAAUAUAAAUGGCUUAAAAGAUAACAAUAAAAGGCAAAUAAAAUCAGAUUAUAUCAAAAGGUAAAAAUCUAAAUUUACUAAUUAUAAGAAGCACAUGUAUAAACAAAUUGACAAAGAAAUGUUGAAAAUAAAGGGAUUCAAAAGUUUCCCUGGUCAAAAGGAACAUAGAAAAGUUAGAGGAAUAGACAGGUAGAAAUAUUAGAAUCAGACACAGCAUCAUGUAUCAUGGCAAAAAAUAUGAAAUGGAUAAAAUGAUUAUUAUACACCUGUAAAAGUUACAAUGCACAGUGCAAACAUAAGCAUCACAAACAAUCCAUACACUGAGGAAAUACAUAAAAUAAAAACUGUUAGGAAGGAAAGGAAACUUUACAUAAAACUUUAACAUAACUGUAACAUACAUCUAGGAGAUAAAACAGAAUUUCCGGAAUGACAAAAUAUCUUUAAUAGGCAUGACUAAGCUUUACACUAUACAGAGAAUAUGCCUUUUUCUGUAACAUCCACAGAACAAACAGUAAAAUUCACUAAAAUGGUUUUAAUAAAGUGUGAGUAUUUUGACUCAUCCACCCCAAAAGGGCGUAUUCUUUCUACACUAAUUGUAUAGCCCAGGAUGUUAGGAAUUAACCAAUAUUCUUUAGUCCUUGAAAGAUCUUAACCUUGAAAACACUCAGAGACAACAUACAAAUAAAACCCACACCAGCUUUUCUGUGUGCUUUAUCUGACUGUAGUAGGCUGAAUAAAGGCCUCCAAAGAUGUCCCCAUUCUAAGCCCUGGAACCUGUGAAUGUUACUUUACAUAGCAAAAGGGACUAUGCAGAUGUGACUAAGAAUCUUGAGACAGGGAGAUUUUCCUGGGGAUUAUCCAGGUGGGCCCUAAAUGCAAUUUCAAGUCUCUUUAUAAGAGGGAUUGAGAAGGAAACUUCAUCAAAGAACAGGAAAAAAUCAGUGUGACCAUAGAAGCAGAGAUUGAAGCGAUGUGGUCACAAGGCAAGGAAUGCUGGCAGCCACCAGACACCGGAAGUCAGGAACAGAUUCUCCCCCGGAACCUCCAGAGGGGAGACAGCCCUGCUGUCACCUUGAUUUUAAGCCAGUGAUGUUGAUUUCAGACUCUGGCCUCUGGAACUUCCUUUCAGAAAUUCUCUAGAGCCUGAAAAAGUCACCCUGCCGAGGAUCAACUUCUUCACCCCAGAACAAGGCAGAGCAGAAGGAUGGAUCUGAGUGCAAACAGGUCCAGGACCAGCACACCAUAUGCCGACCUUGAGAAGGAAAUUCACUGAGCCAUUCCUUACGAGUGUUCCCAGGAGAAACAGGAAAGUGAGAAGUCAAGUCGGUCCAAGAAGAAUAAAGAGGCCAAGCCCAGUUGCAUAUCAGCAAUCUCACAGAGAGAGCUGCCUCAGUCCCUCGAGGCGUCUCUUUCUGCAGCCCAUGCUGGAGUGCACUGGCGCCAUCUUGGCUCACUGCAGCCUUGACCUCUGGAGCUCAAGUGAUCCUCUCAUUUCGGCCUCCAAGUAGCUGGGACCACAGCACAGUGACCCAUGAUAUUCAAGGUGGUGGCUCCUUUGUCAGAUGAAUUCCUGAGUGACCAUAAGCAGAGAUCUCCUAACGACCCAUGAUGGGUAGUGUGAGCAAGUAUGAACCAUCUAGUGGAGCAAGAAAUAGUGCCUAUAUAAGCACUGAGAUUUGAGGAUGGUUUGUUACCAGAGAAUUGCCUACCUUAUCCUGACUGAUAAUCAGAUGUAAUAAUAUACCUCUGACUGGUGUUGGCUCCAUCAUACACCAGGGAAACAGCUGUUGUCUAGUACUUAUAACAUGUAACUCAAAACCCCUGGUUUAAAUGAAUUCCUGAGUGCAUUAUGCAUAACAUUUGUAUAAUUGGCUUUUGUAAACAAGACAUUGCUAUAGUUCUUCACAGAAUUAUGCUAAUAUCGAUAGAUUAUUCUUCAUUUAUCUUUAUCUGUUCUGAGCGACUGAAAGAGGAAAGAUUUGUUAUGAGAACACAUAAAUACAGUAUCAUGAAAGGGAAAGAAAAAGUUCUGUUUUGCGGAAGGCAUUAGUCCCCUUUGUUAGUCAAAUGAAGAGAGACUAUUCAUUAUACUUUAAUCUUAAGGAAUCCAAGAUUGCUAAACUAAUGGAUGACAUGUGACUAAGGAAUGAAUUAGUUGAACUUUAUUCUAUGAGUUGCCACCAUGAACUGUGCAAUUAUAGCCAGGUCCUUUAAAUGCUUUGAAUGUUUUUCAUGUGCGGAUAAGAUUAUUUCAGACCUACCAGGCCUUGAAGAAGGAUCAAAGUCUUGUCAGAGCUUUUGCCUAAAAUUGAAAAUAUCAUGUUACUUGGACUAUUUAUUUAUCCCUGCACCUUGUUGCAAAAAGGAUUUUAAGUAGAUGGCAUAUUAUUAUUUUAUUAACACAUUAAAAAAAACCCAUAAGAGGAUUAUAGAGUUUUUCCCUAACCUACUUCUCAGAGUGUUUUAAGCACACUGUAGAAUUUAUUCACUCAUGAAUUUGAUACAAACUAAAGUGAAAAUCUCUUCUCUGGAACCUCAUAAUGCUUAGAAAGCAUAGUAACACGUUCGGAGAAAGAGGAAGAUCAAAUUUAGAGGAAGCUCUUGUUUGAGUUUCUGCCACAAUGAGUUUCCCAUUCUAGAUAUUAAAAUAAUAGUAUAUACCCCAAAUAAAAUACUCAAGUUUCUGUAAAUUAAGGAUUAUGACUUGAUUAUACAUAUUUUAGAUUUAGAGCAUGCAUAAAAAAAUAUCUUUUUCACCAACUAGUAGAAAAAAAUUCAAAAUAAUGUGAUGAUUUUAAUCUUCCAUGAUAUGUAAUCUAAAAUAUCAAAACAUCACUGACUUUGCAUUAUAAUUAAAUAUAAAAGGUGACUGACUUAAGCCAAAUUUAAAAAAAAAAAUUGAGACAAGGUCUGUGUCAUCAGAGGUGGUAAGCAGUAGUGCAAACACAGCUCACUGCAGCAUUGACCUCCUGGGCUCAAACUCUCCUCCCAUCUCAGCCUCCCAGGCAGCUGAGAUCACAGAUACACACCACCACACCCAGAUAAUUUUUUUUUUUAAGUAAGGACAAAAUCUCACUAUGUUGUCCAGGUUCCAAAUAAAUUUUAAGAGCCUAAUUUUAACUAUUCAAAAACUAAGCAAAUACCUGAAAAUUAUUUCUUCUGAAAAACACAUACUAAAUAAAAAUCUAUUAUACUUAUGGAUUUUCAGAGGUCUUCAUAAGUAUUAACUCAUAAAUUCUUGUGGCUUUCCCAAUUGUCACAUGUCUCCUUUCAUGAAAUAUUUUGUAAAUUUUUACUAUGGUAUUGGACAGAGCAUGAACCUCAGAAUUGCCCAAAUCUGAGUUCACCGACUUAAUCAAGCACAUAUUAAUAUAUAAUCUUGGAUAAUUUAUCAAUUUAAACUGAAGAGCUUUAUCUUCAACAUUUCUAAAUUAUGCGUGUUAUAAACAAUAAAUCAGGUUAUUCCAUUACAUUUAAUAACUAGCAACCCACACUGUGAUAAGUGUCAGUAAUGCAACAGCACGGUAAUAUAUAGGCAAAGCACCAACCAGAAAUUAAGUAUCUGUUGAAUUUCUCUCUACUCUCCUUUUCCCUCAACCAAUUCCUGAAUAAAUGUAGGGAGAAACAGGAAUGUUUUAAGAAAUCUUCUUCAACUAAUAUGAAAUAGGAUAUCUGAAGACUCAUCCUUCUGUCUUCCUAGUCUAUAGUUUGUUCCACAGCUAUUUUUGUGACUAAAGAUACUAAAAUUAGACAUUAUUUUUAUCUCUAAAUUUCAAGGCAGUUGUUAAGAACUAUGACUAAACUACCAAAAUAAAGAAACAUAGAGGAAUAAUGAACAUUGACUACAAACUAAACUGAUUGUCACAUAUUCUAUGUGGUGAUUUGAGAGACUGCUUCUCAUACACUGUAAUUCAAUGAAAAAAUAGCAUAUACAAAAUGAUUACUUAGUAAGAAAAAUUCAAACUUAAAACGAGUUGUCAAUGUGACAUGCCAUGUUAGAAAUGAAUAAUAAAAUGUGUGCCAAGGGCUAAGUAAGGCAUUUUUCCCUUUUUUUCUCUUUUAAAAAGGACUACAAAAGAGCAGUUUUUUUGGUUAAAAGAAUUAAUGAAAAUUGCUAAAUCAAUGACGCUUUCAGAAGUUCCCUGUUUUUGACAUCAGAGUCAUAUUAUAAUGCUCUAUUUCCUGUUUCCUCACCUAAACAGAAUUUUGCUUCAGGCAAUUUUUUAUCUCAACUUCUGUUUGUAGAAACCAGGGACAUUUAUUGAAUUGUUUCUGGCUGGCUAUUUGAUCGUAACAAAGCAUUUAAAUGAUACUGAUGCCCUGGCUUGAGCAACGGAGCAUCCCAGACUUUCAGUUAGUUGCACACAGCACACAUACAACUCAUUUGAGUUACAGCUAAAUGCAAUUACAGGCCUCAGAGCUAAUAUAUAGAUCACUUCUUAUUUAAGGCAAUUCACCUUUGAAUUGGUUAACCUUUAAUUGUUCAUAAAAUAAUAAGAUGGGAAACAAAGUUGCUACCCAAUAUGUUAGUUUCCCCAAAUAAACACUUAUUUAAAGGUUCAUUUGUUAAUCAAGUAUCUGGAAGUUGAAAUACAUUUUUAUGAAAGGAAAUAAAUUUUAGGUGAUGAUUAGGUUUUUAUCAAGAGCUGAAGUUUUUAAUAACGAACAGGGAGAGAUACUAUGGCAAAACAGUAAUUGAAUAAAACAUAAAUUCAAUAAAAUGAUAUGAAAAAUCAAUGUUUGACAUUUAUUGUGCAGUGCUGGCUGGGUGCAGUGGUAUGAGCCAUACCACUGUGUACAUCCUCAUCUGUCUACCAAAUAUGGCCCCCAGGCAGUUUGCUCAAGGUCACAUACUGGUGGAACAAUAAUUAGAAACAUUUUAUCAUCCUCAAUUUAAUUCUCUUUAUAUUUGACUCAGGAUAAAUGUCAAACAUUGAUUUUUCAUAUCAUUUUAUUGAAUUUAUGUUUUAUUCAAUUACUGUUUUGCCAUAGUAUCUCUCCCUGUUCAUUAUUGGUAUGAGCCAUAUCACUGCACCCAGCCAGCACUGCACAUUUUAAGUGUAUGUUCUAUGAGUUUUGAGAAAGGUAUACAUGCAUGUAACCACCUUGCUAAUCAGGAUAUAGACUAUUUCCAUCACCCUCAAGGAGUUCCCUUUUGCAUUUUGCAGUCCAUCAAUCUUCCUCUACCCCUUAGCUCAGACAACCAUGAAUCUACUUUUUGCCAUUAUAGAUUAGAUUUUCCUGUUAUAAAUUUUUAUGCAAAUAAAAUAAUAUACAAAAUACUUAUUUGUGUCUGGCUUCAUUAACAUAGGAUAAUGAUUUUGAGAUUAUUGAUGUCAAUCAGUGUUAUCGUUCAUUAUUUAUUUCAUUGUUGGAUGGUAUCCCAUUAAAUUGAUAUACCACAAUUUGCUCAUCAAUUUACUUUUCUGUUUU